rnacentral:rRNA from 1 species
CGGCGACCAAAACGGGAUUAGCCCAAACCAAGAGGCUUGCCUCUUGUGGUUGUAGGACACUCUGUACGGAGUUACAAAGGAACGAGGUAGAUGAAUAGUUCUGGAAAGUCCCGCCAUAGGAGGUAACAGCCCUGUAGUCAAAACUUCGUUCUCUCCUGAGUGGAUCCUGAGUACGGCGGAACACGUGAAAUUCCGUCGGAAUCCGGGAUGACCAUCUCCCAAGGCUAAAUACUCCCUAGUGACCGAUAGUGAACCAGUACCGUGAGGGAAAGGUGAAAAGCACCCCGGAAGGGGAGUGAAAGAGAUCCUGAAACCGUGUGCCUACAAGUAGUCAGAGCCCGUUAACGGGUGAUGGCGUGCCUUUUGUAGAAUGAACCGGCGAGUUACGAUCCCGUGCAAGGUUAAGCAGAAGAUGCGGAGCCGCAGCGAAAGCGAGUCUGAAUAGGGCGCAUGAGUACGUGGUCGUAGACCCGAAACCAGGUGAUCUACCCAUGUCCAGGGUGAAGUUCAGGUAACACUGAAUGGAGGCCCGAUACCUCGCACGUUGAAAAGUGCGGGGAUGUGGUGUUGGUAGGGUUGAAAUGCCUAUCGAUCCUGGAGAUAGCUUGUUCUCUCCGAAAUAGCUUUAGGGCUAGCCUCAAGGUAAGAGUCUUGGAGGUAGAGCACUGAUUGGACUAGGGGCCCCUACCGGGUUACCGAAUUCAGUCAAACUCCGAAUGCCAAUGACUUAUCCUUGGGAGUCAGACUGCGAGUGAUAAGAUCCGUAGUCGAAAGGGAAACAGCCCAGACCGCCAGCUAAGGUCCCAAAGUAUACGUUAAGUGGAAAAGGAUGUGGAGUUGCUUAGACAACCAGGAUGUUGGCUUAGAAGCAGCCACCAUUUAAAGAGUGCGUAAUAGCUCACUGGUCGAGUGACUCUGCGCCGAAAAUGUACCGGGGCUAAACGUAUCACCGAAGCUGCGGACUGUUCUUCGAACAGUGGUAGGAGAGCGUUCUAAGGGCUGUGAAGCCAGACCGGAAGGACUGGUGGAGCGCUUAGAAGUGAGAAUGCCGGUAUGAGUAGCGAAAGAGGGGUGAGAAUCCCCUCCACCGAAUGCCUAAGGUUUCCUGAGGAAGGCUCGUCCGCUCAGGGUUAGUCGGGACCUAAGCCGAGGCCGAAAGGCGUAGGCGAUGGACAACAGGUUGAUAUUCCUGUACCACCUCCUCACCAUUUGAGCAAUGGGGGGACGCAGGAGGAUAGGGUAAGCGCGGUAUUGGAUAUCCGCGUCCAAGCAGUUAGG